UGAAAACCACGAUUUGAGUAGCUUCCUA
rnacentral:piRNA from 1 species